CCCAAUUGCUGUCCAAGACGACGUUGAUAUGUCGUCAAAUGAUCUUACUUUCUUCCCUCUCAUUUUUUGAUAGUUUUGAGAAAUGGUAGGUACUUUGGAUCUCACAAUUCCUUCCAGUGUUGACACUACCUCCUUCAUUGUUGGUCUUUCUUCUCCUUUAUAUCUUAAGCAUGAACAUGCAAGCCUUGCAAAUACUUCGAUCUCAUCUUUAUCAGCUUCUUCUUCGAGACAAGUGUCGAAAAUCAGUUCGACAUGUUUUUCAUUAAACAUCUUGAUGAAAUACAUGAUUAUAUUUCUUUCUUCUUGAGUUCUCGCAUUUGAGAUUGGUUUCUGGCCUGUAAAGAGCUCUACUAAAAUGACACCCAAACUGUAAACAUCACUUUUUUCAGUUAAUUUUCCUGAUUGAUAGUAUUCUGGAUCGAGAUAUCCAAUUGUUCCUUGUACCGUAGUUGAGGUGAUAUGAGUUUGAUCUAACCCUACAUAUUUUGAAGCUCCAAAAUCUGAUAAUUUUGCGGAUAACUUCUCGUCCAGUAAUAUGUUUGCUGAUUUCAAAUCACUGUGGAAAAUAGUCUUGGAACUAGCAAAAUGAAGGUAUAAAAUAGCUGAAGAUAACUCAAUGGCAAUCCUCAGACGAUCAUCCCAACAUAAGUGAGAAAAAUGAUCCCUUGCAUGAAGAUGGUCGGAAAGAGUACCAUUAGAAACAAAUUCGUACACCAAAAUAGGAACUUCCGUCUCUAAGCAACAUCCAUACAACAUCACCACAUUCCUAUGAUAAAUCCGAGAGAGAAGAGCGACCUCGUUAAUAAAUUCAUCUACC
rnacentral:lncRNA from 1 species